AGUGGCAACGGGUGAGUAAUACAUGAGAAUUUACCUUUUGGAAGGGGAUAGUUUUUGGAAACGAAAAGUAAUACCCUAUAAUCUCUUUAGAUUGGUUUUUAAAGAGCAAAGAUUUAUCGCCAUUAGAGAAGCUCAUGCCCGAUUAGGUAGUUGGUAGGGUAAAAGCCUACCAAGCCUUUGAUCGGUAGUUGGUCUUAGAGGAUGAUCAGCCACACUGGGAUUGAGAUACGGCCCAGACUCCUACGGGAGGCAGCAGUGGGGAAUAUUGGACAAUGGGGGGAACCCUGAUCCAGCGAUGCCGCGUGAAUGAUGAAGGUUUUUAUAAAUUGUAAAAUUCUUUUACUCAUGAAGAUAAUGACGGUAAUGAGAGAAAAAGCUCCGGCAAACUUCGUGCCAGCAGCCGCGGUAAUACGAGGGGAGCGAGCGUUGUUCGGAUUGACUGGGCGUAAAGGGUGCGUAGGCUGUUUUUUAAGUGAGAUGUGAAAGCCCUGGGCUUAACUCAGGAAGUGCAUUUCAUACUGGAAAACUAGAGAUCAGAAGAGGAAAUGGGAAUUCCUGGUGUAGAGGUGAAAUUCGUUGAUACCAGGAGGAACACCAAAGGCGAAGGCAAAUUUCUGGGCUGAAUCUGACGUUGAGGCACGAAAGCGUGGGUAGCAAACAGGAUUAGAUACCCUGGUAGUCCACGCCCUAAACGAUGAGUGCUAGAUAUUGGGCAUAUAUGAUGUUCGGUGUCAUAGCUAACGCAUUAAGCACUCCGCCUGGGGAGUACGGUCGCAAGACUAAAACUCAAAGGAAUUGACGGGGGCCCGCACAAGCGGUGGAGCAUGUGGUUUAAUUCGAUGUUCCGCGAAAAACCUUACCAGCUUUUGACAUGCAAGUUUUGAAUGAAUGAAAGUUCGUUCUUCAGUUUGGCUGGACUUGUACAGGUGCUGCAUGGCUGUCGUCAGCUCGUGUCGUGAGAUGUUGGGUUAAGUCCCGCAACGAGCGCAACCCUUGUCGUUAUUUGCCAAUAGAUUUAUUUCUAGGAACUUUAACGAGACUGCCGAUGUUGAGUCGGAGGAAGGUGAGGAUGACGUCAA
rnacentral:rRNA from 1 species